rnacentral:lncRNA from 12 species
CUUUCAGAGCUACACGUCCUCAUGAAACUGGCCAGUUUCUAUGAUAACACAUUUUUUUUUAAGAUUUUAUUUAUUUAUUCAUGAGAGACACACACACACAGAGAGAGAGAGGCAGAGACACAGGCAGAGGGAGACAUAGCCUCCACGCAGGGAGCCCGUCAUGGGACUCGAUCCCGGGCCUCGAAGGACCACGCCCUGGGCUGAAGGCAGGCGUCAAAACGCUGAGCCACCCAGGGAUCCUCUGAUAACACAUUUUAAAAGUCCAGUGGGAUAUUAGAGUGAGUCAGGAAUCUCCCAAAUAACAUGGCCAUUGUGACUGAGCAAGAUUCUACAAAACCACUGUCAGAAUGCAACUGAUCAGAGACCUAGUGACUGGUAAAAUUAGGAACACAGAAGGCAGCAUUUGGUGCCAAUGGGCAUUGUUAAAUAAUCAGAGCUGGUUUUUGAAUCAGACACAGAACCGGAAGAAUGGCAUCAGUGGGGUAGUGAUGAUGGUCACCUCUUCAAGAAGGAAUCUUCCUGGGAGUCACCGUGUGCUAGGAUGUGGUCUGAGAGUGGUGGGAAAGAGAGAAAGUGGCCCCUUCCUGAAGUCAAAUCAUUGGUUCCAGAAGACUGCCUCCCACUGGGGACUACAGAGAAGAGAGAAAGGGCUUCAGGGUAGAAGCCCAAACUCUCAAGGAUUUCUGAAGACACAAGGAGCAGAUAAUCAUCUAGAGUGAACCCAGAAAGAUCUGGAGACCACAGGGCCAUACCGAUCAGGAGCUGCGGCUCCUCGCCAACCCCAGGUUUCAAGGGGAGCUUAACAGACUAGCCUCAUAGCUCAUUCUCCGCAGGGACACUCUGUAGAGGGGCUGGCUCUCUGCUGUCACAUCAGUUAAAACCCAGCCAAGCAGUGGGAAUUCUCUGUAUUUUGUUCUAUUAUUAGAAUCCAAUUACCAUCUGGUGGUAUGCUAUAGGGAAGUGCAAUUCUUCUACAUCAGCAAACACAAAAUGCAGCAGUUUGGUGAGCAAGCUGGCAGCUUCCAGAGCUUGGAGCAAAAAGGUAGAGAAAUACUUUUAUUUCUGCCCAAAUAACAUCAUGCCUAUUGGGAUUCCCCUGGCUUUGGCAUAUAGAUAGUUGAGCUCAGUCCCAUAAAGGCAGAGACUUCAAAAAAUAAAUAAAUAAAUAAAUAAAUAAAUAAAUAAAUA